AACGAACGUUAGCGGCGCGCUUAACACAUGCAAGUCGUGCGAGAAAGGGAGCAAUCCCCGGUAAAGCGGCGCACGGGUGAGUAACACGUAGGUAACGUGCCCCCAGGUGGUGGAUAACCUUCCGAAAGGAGGGCUAAUACAGCAUAAGACCACGGCUUCGAAAGGAGCUGAGGUCAAAGUCGGCCUCUAUUCAUAAGCUGACGCCAGGGGAUCGGCCUGCGGCCCAUCAGGUAGUUGGUAGGGUAAUGGCCUACCAAGCCUAAGACGGGUAGCUGGUCUGAGAGGAUGAUCAGCCACACUGGAACUGAGACACGGUCCAGACUCCUACGGGAGGCAGCAGUGGGGAAUCUUGCGCAAUGGGCGAAAGCCUGACGCAGCGACGCCGCGUGAGUGAUGAAGGCCUUCGGUUGUAAGACUCUGUGGGAGGAGGACGAAUAAGUACGUAGCGAACAGCUCCGAUGAUGACGGUAGUACCUUUUAGU
rnacentral:rRNA from 1 species